AUAUCAAUAAGCGGAGGAAAAGAAAGCAACAGCGAUUUCCUUAGUAGUGGCGAACGAAGAGGAAUAAGCUCAGAUUUAAAAUCGAGUGUGGGUCAAUCCAUACUUCGAAUUGUAGCCUUCAGGUGUAUAGUCGCGGUCGCCCGUCCGAAUGUAAGUUCCCUGGAAUGGGGCGUCAAAGAGGGUGAGAACCCCGUUUGUUUAUUCAUUCGGUACGAAGUUGCGGCGCCAGCCGUCUAUGCUCCUUUCGAGUCGAGUUGUUUGGGAUUGCAGCUCUAAACUUUUAUUACGGGGAGGUAGAUCACUCCUAAAGCUAAAUAUCGAUGAGAGACCGAUAGCGAACAAGUACCGCGAGGGAAAGAUGAAAAGAACUUUGAAAAGAGGGUUAAAAGCGUUCGAAAUCGUUAACAGGGAAGCGAACAGAACCGGGAUUUCAUGGGUAGUCAUCAUCAGCUACUAGUGAUUGUCAUUGUUAUUUGUCUGAGUUGCAAUAUACCAGCGAGUGGCAAUGUUACGGUUAUUAGACGGUGUACAAUGAUUGCUCAUGUGUCGGCAUCGAUCUCUAGUUGUUCGAAGGGAGAGUAAAGGAGACGGAUGAAGGCGCUUCAAACGCUUUAUCAUUGACGGACUUUGCUAUUUUCCG
rnacentral:rRNA from 1 species